UGAGGAAUAUUGGACAAUGGGCGCAAGCCUGAUCCAGCCAUGCCGCGUGCAGGAUGACGGUCCUAUGGAUUGUAAACUGCUUUUAUACGAGAAGAAACACUCCGACGUGUCGGAGCUUGACGGUAUCGUAAGAAUAAGGAUCGGCUAACUCCGUG
rnacentral:rRNA from 1 species